UCCGCAAUGGGAGAGGCCGCAACAGUGAGAGGCCCGCGUACCGCAAACAAACAAACAAAACCUCAAAAAACAUAAAACCUACCCCCUGCCUAGGAUUGCUCCAAACUCUAUUAAGAUGCAUCUGGGGGCCCAUCCCUCAACCAGUCCCUGACAACUCAGAGGUGGGGUCCUUUAGGAAGGCAGUGGCUUCCAUUUGGACUUUAUGACAAGAGCUGUUGGACGUGCAAUUCCCCCGCAAAGGAGGGUCUACCUUCCAGGAGAAGAGGGGAGGAGCACUGGGGAGCAAAACAAUUGGGAUCCACUACACUGGAGUGACUAUGUGGCAUAAGGGUUGAGUGUCUACAAACACCUUCCUCCACUUUGACAUCUUGGAGUCCACCUCCCUCCUCUGGUCCUCACGGGGGCCUCCUUCAUGGCUUCCUGGCCCUCUUUAGAGCCACUCUGUUAGCGUCUAAUUAAUAUGCACUUCAUUCCCAGACUACUGCCUGCUAUAGUGUUUGUGUAUGUCAAUGGCUUCCUCCCGCUCUAUGAGGCUGGAAUUCAGCUACAGAACAUGUUUAAUUGGAAACUGCAGUGCUUCUCUCCACCUGGAACCAGGCCAAGUUCCUCAGCGGAGGAGGAGGGGCCUCGCUGUCUCCUCUUCAUCAAUCCCCAGGCAGCACCCCUAGCCUGAGACUAGCACCUCCCCUUUGUUCCCUGCGAUUUGGAGGUUGCUUCCUAACCACGUGGAGCUCUUAGCCCCCAGAGACCACCGCUCCGUUUCAGUUUUCUAAUCAUCCUCUUUCUCCAGGUAAGGUUGCCUGAUGAAAUAUUUGGGACAUCUUUAUACCAAAAACUUUAUUGUUUAUCUGAUAUUCAAAUGUCACUGGGCAGCCUAUAUUUUUAUUUGCUACAUCUGGCAACUCUAUCAGUAAGGCUUCCAUAAAUAUGACCUCUGCCCGCCUGGUGCACCAGGCCACCCAGACAUUCCUCAGCAGGUUUCAACGUGCCUACACGCACCAGGAGUGACAAUCCAGGCUUAAAAUAUUCAGAUUUUCAUGCUGGUUACAUAAAUGUAGUAUGGGUAUCCCCCACUUUUCCAAAGUUCACUUUACACCACUUCACUUUUACGAAAGCCCUACCUAUCAGUAGUACUUGUUUUCGCUAACCAAAAGAAAUCCAAAGAGGAUUUUCACUCUCAGGAGAAGAGAAAAGUGAAAAUAGCGGGGGUUUUGCAGCAGCCAUUAUAGAGGCAGUGCGUGCCCCAAGCAGCGAGAGUGGCCCCGCCAGCUCCUUCCCGGGGAAUGACACUCAGCAUCUCAGCAUCAGGCCGCCAGAGCUUCGAACUGUGUCAGCAUCAGUGCUUUCUCUCCAUUGACUUCGUACAACCGUUAGCAAGAUGUGUCCUAAGGUACAAACAAGCUGAGAGGAAUAUUCCUAUCAACUCUCCCAUUUGACAGCUUCUAUUAAAAGAAAAUCUUCCCGCUUCCUUUCAACAAAAGUGGCCAAAUGUUAUUGCAAUUCAAGUUGCUUCAAGGAAUUUAGAAAACCUACGUGUUUUAUUACUUAAAACACAAUAAAUUACUAUAUACUCAA